CCUGGCUCAGGAUGAACGCUAGCGGCAGGCUUAACACAUGCAAGUCGAGGGGCAUCGGGAGUAGCAAUACUUGCCGGCGACCGGCGCAAGGGUGCGUAACGCGUGAGCAACAUGCCCGUAUCAGGGGGAUAAUCCAUGGAAACGUGGUCUAAUACCCCAUAGUAAUUAUGUAAGGCAUCUUAUAUAAUUUAAAGCUUUGGUGGAUACGGAUUGGCUCGCGUGACAUUAGCUGGAUGGUAAGGUAACGGCUUACCAUGGCUACGAUGUCUAGGGGUUCUGAGAGGAAGGUCCCCCCACACUGGAACUGAGACACGGUCCAGACUCCUACGGGAGGCAGCAGUGAGGAAUAUUGGACAAUGGAUGGAAAUCUGAUCCAGCCAUGCCGCGUGCAGGAAAGACGGCCCUAUGGGUUGUAAACUGCUUUUGUAUGGGAGCAAUAAGGGCUACGUGUAGUCCGAUGAGAGUACCAUACGAAUAGGCACCGGCUAACUCCGUGCCAGCAGCCGC
rnacentral:rRNA from 1 species